rnacentral:rRNA from 1 species
AUUGAACGCUGGCGGCAGGCCUAACACAUGCAAGUCGAGCGGAUGAAGGGAGCUUGCUCCUGGAUUCAGCGGCGGACGGGUGAGUAAUGCCUAGGAAUCUGCCUGGUAGUGGGGGAUAACGUCCGGAAACGGGCGCUAAUAUCGCAUACGUCCUGAGGGAGAAAGUGGGGGAUCUUCGGACCUCACGCUAUCAGAUGAGCCUAGGUCGGAUUAGCUAGUUGGUGGGGUAAAGGCCUACCAAGGCGACGAUCCGUAACUGGUCUGAGAGGAUGAUCAGUCACACUGGAACUGAGACACGGUCCAGACUCCUACGGGAGGCAGCAGUGGGGAAUAUUGGACAAUGGGCGAAAGCCUGAUCCAGCCAUGCCGCGUGUGUGAAGAAGGUCUUCGGAUUGUAAAGCACUUUAAGUUGGGAGGAAGAGCAGUAAGUUAAUACCUUGCUGUUUUGACGUUACCAACAGAAUAAGCACCGGCUAACUUCGUG